CCUACGGGAGGCAGCAGUGAGGAAUAUUGGUCAAUGGACGCAAGUCUGAACCAGCCAUGCCGCGUGCAGGAAGACGGCUCUAUGAGUUGUAAACUGCUUUUGUACGAGGGUAAACGCAGAUACGCGUAUCUGUCUGAAAGUAUCGUACGAAUAAGGAUCGGCUAACUCCGUGCCAGCAGCCGCGGUAAUACGGAGGAUUCAAGCGUUAUCCGGAUUUAUUGGGUUUAAAGGGUGCGUAGGCGGUCGGAUAAGUUAGAGGUGAAAUCCCGAGGCUCAACUUCGGAAUUGCCUCUGAUACUGUUCGGCGAGAGAGUAGUUGCGGUAGGCGGAAUGUAUGGUGGAGCGGUGAAAUGCUUAGAGAUCAUACAGAACACCGAUUGCGAAGGCAGCUUACCAAGCUACUUCUGACGUUGAGGCACGAAAGCGUGGGGAGCAAACAGGAUUAGAUACCCGGGUAGUC
rnacentral:rRNA from 1 species